AGAGUUUGAUCAUGGCUCAGGACGAACGCUGGCGGCGCGCCUAACACAUGCAAGUCGAACGGAGUUGCUUGAUCGGAUUCUUUCGGGAUGACGAACUUGUAACUUAGUGGCGAACGGGUGAGUAACGCGUGAGGAACCUGCCCCAGAGUGGGGGACAACAGUUGGAAACGACUGCUAAUACCGCAUAAGCCCACGGUGCCGCAUGGCACAGAGGGAAAAGGAUUUAUUCGCUUUGGGAUGGCCUCGCGUCUGAUUAGAUAGUUGGUGAGGUAACGGCCACCAAGUCGACGAUCAGUAGCCGGACUGAGAGGUUGAUCGGCCACAUUGGGACUGAGAUACGGCCCAGACUCCUACGGGAGGCA
rnacentral:rRNA from 1 species